rnacentral:rRNA from 1 species
UCCGUAGGCGGUGCGGCAAGUCGGAAGUGAAAUCUCUGGGCUUAACUCAGAGGCUGCUUCCGAAACUGCCGUGCUCGAGUGCGAGAGAGGCAAGUGGAAUUGCGGGUGUAGCGGUGAAAUGCGUAGAUAUCCGCAGGAACAUCCGAGGCGAAAGCGGCUUGCUGGAUCGCAACUGACGCUGAGGGACAAAGCUAGGGGAGCAAACAGGAUUAGAUACCCUGGUAGUCCUAGCCCUAAACCAUCAGGACUUGGGGUUUGCCCUGUACGGGGCAAGUCCCGGAGCUAACGCGUUAAGCCCUGCGCCGUGGGGAGUACGGUCGCAAGGCUAGAA